rnacentral:lncRNA from 1 species
UUAAAACAACGUCAUCACACAAUUUUAGGGAAUCGACAAUCGCAGUUAACUUAUAAAUUCCUAAAAGGUGUUUCAUAUAUCCACUUGUUGAAGCCUACCUGAAAAUUAGCAAAAUCUUUAAUUCAGGAACGUCGAUUUUGUUACAGUACUAUCUUCUGAUUUCUUAACUUUUACUUCAAAUUAUUCUAUUUAUGUUAUCAACUACUCCUUAAUUAUAUUCAAUGAUAAUCACGCUGUUCAUUAAACUCCGUGUAAUAUGACUUUCAUAUGCUAAUAUAUAGGUACAGUUUUAGCCAAUCUGACUUGAAAGGUCAAAUAAGCUUUUCUCAUCACUUGGCGUCCGUCGUCCGUCUUCGUCGUCGUCUGUUAACUUUAACAAAAACUUUCUUCUCUGAAUCUAAUGGCCCAAUUUUAACCAAACUUGGCCACAAUCAUCACUAGGGUAUCUAGUUUAAAACAUGUGUCCGAUCGAUGACCACGCCUGCCAACCAACAUGCAUGGCUAUAUGGCCGACAUGGCUAAACAUAGAACAUAGGGAUAAAAUGCAGUUUUUGGCUUAUAUCUAUGAAACUAAAGCAUUUAGAGCAAAUCUGACAGGUGGCAAAAAUGUUUAUUGAAUUUAGAUUUAUCUGCCCUGACAUUUUCAGACG